rnacentral:rRNA from 1 species
AGAGUUUGAUCAUGGCUCAGAUUGAACGCUGGCGGUAGGCUUAACACAUGCAAGUCGUGCGAGAAAGUAUCUUCGGAUAUGAGUAGAGCGGCGGACGGGUGAGUAACGCGUAGGAAUCUACCUAGUAGAAGGGGAUAGCCCGGGGAAACCCGGAUUAAUACCGUAUACCUCCUUCGGGAGAAAGAAGGCCUCUCUUUGAAGCUUUCGCUACUAGAUGAGCCUGCGUAAGAUUAGCUUGUUGGUGAGGUAAAGGCUCACCAAGGCGACGAUCUUUAGCUGGUCUGAGAGGACGAUCAGCCACAUUGGGACUGAGACACGGCCCAGACUCCUACGGGAGGCAGCAGUGGGGAAUAUUGGACAAUGGGCGCAAGCCUGAUCCAGCCAUACCGCGUGUGUGAAGAAGGCCUUCGGGUUGUAAAGCACUUUAAGCAGGGAGAAAAAGUUAUAAGUUAAUACCUUAUAACCCUGAUGUUACCUGCAGAAUAAGCACCGGCUAAUUCCGUGCCAGCAGCCGCGGUAAUACGGAAGGUGCAAGCGUUAAUCGGAAUUACUGGGCGUAAAGCGCGCGUAGGUGGUUUGUUAAGUUGGAUGUGAAAGCCCUGGGCUCAACCUAGGAACUGCAUCCAAAACUAACUCACUAGAGUACGAUAGAGGGAGGUAGAAUUCAUAGUGUAGCGGUGGAAUGCGUAGAUAUUAUGAAGAAUACCAGUGGCGAAGGCGGCCUCCUGGAUCUGUACUGACACUGAGGUGCGAAAGCGUGGGUAGCGAACAGGAUUAGAUACCCUGGUAGUCCACGCCGUAAACGAUGACAACUAGCUGUUGGGAGACUAUGUCUUUCAGUGGCGCAGCUAACGCUUUAAGUUGUCCGCCUGGGGAGUACGGCCGCAAGGCUAAAACUCAAAUGAAUUGACGGGGACCCGCACAAGCGGUGGAGCAUGUGGUUUAAUUCGAUGCAACGCGAAAAACCUUACCUACUCUUGACAUACUUGGAGGCUCUUGUAAUGAGAGUGUGCCUUUUGGAACCAAGAUACAGGUGCUGCAUGGCUGUCGUCAGCUCGUGUCGUGAGAUGUUCCGUUAAGUCGGAUAACGAGCGCAACCCUUACCCUUAUUUGCCAGCGAUUCGGUCGGGAACUAUAAGGGGACUGCCGGUGAUAAACCGGAGGAAGGUGAGGACGACGUCAAGUCAUCAUGGCCCUUACG